rnacentral:lncRNA from 1 species
AAUUUCGUCCGGGUGACUACAUAAUAGGACUUGAUUUUUGUUAUUGUCUUAUUUCAUUAUUUUGGUAUUUUAAAAAAAAAAAAGAAAAAAAAGAAACAAAGAAAGAGUAAAAAAAACAAACAAAAAAUUUAAAAAAGAAAAGAAAAAAAAGAAAAAAAAAGGGAAGAAGAGGAUAACAGAAAAAAGCGAGAAAACAAAGAAAAUAAAAAAAAAAGAAGGAGA